UUUUUUUUUUUUUUUUGAAAUUAAGUGUAUGAAUUCCUUGUUGAACCAAAGUUGUAUAGAGGUUAACAGUGAAGUUAUUGCGAUUGCCUUCACCUCUAAAACUUAAGAAGGCAUGGUAAUAAUUAAGAACAUGGAAAUGUUGCAGAGGAGGCUUCAUGGGUUUCUGCAACUCCAAUUCAAGAAAAUACUUAAAAAGAUAUUAUGGAUUAGCUGGUGGAAAGCAAAAAUCGUUCAUAGGGUUAGAGAAUGGAAAAAAAUGAAUAAAAGCCCAACAGUAAGAUGGGGAAAAAAAUGAAGGGGUGGGUCGAUUAUUUCAGUGUUCCAGGAAGUUUCUCUUUAGCUUGAGAGUGGAAAAUGAGCCACACGGAUUAUCCAUGAUCUGAUGUUCAUAGAAUUUUAUUGUUUCCCUGGUGAGUAUUUUCAGAUUUGGCCAGAUUAUUGAUCAGA
rnacentral:misc_RNA from 1 species